GAUGAACGCUGGCGGCGUGCCUAACACAUGCAAGUCGAGCGGAAAGACGAGGAGCUUGCUCCUUUGACGUUAGCGGUGCGGGGGUGAGAAACAUGUGUAUAACCCACCUAUAUGACUGGGAAAACCUCGUGAAACCGGCGCUUAUUCCGGAUAACCUGCUGAAGCGCAUGGUUGGACAGUGAAAGACGGUCUUGCUGUCACUUAUCGCUGCUUCCGCGCCGCAUUAGCUAGUUGGUCAGGUAACGGCUUACCAAGGCGACGAUGCGUAGCCGACCUGAGAGGGUGAUCGGCCACACUGGAACUGAGACACGGUCCAGACUCCUACGGGAGGCAGCAGUAGGGAAUGUUGCGCAAUGGGCGAAAGCCUGACGGAGCAACGCCGCGUGUGUGAAGAAGGCCUUCGGAUCGUAAAGCUCUGUUAUUAGGGAAGAACAAAUGUGUAAGUAGAUAUGCACUUAUUGACGGUACCGGAUCAGGAAGCACCGGCUAACUACGUG
rnacentral:rRNA from 1 species